AUGGAGACUGUUCUGCAAGUACUCCUAGGGAUAUUGGGGUUCCAAGCAGCCUGGGUCAGUAGCCAAGAACUGGAGCAGAGUCCUCAGUCCUUGAUCGUCCAAGAGGGAAAGAAUCUCACCAUAAACUGCACGUCAUCAAAGACGUUAUAUGGCUUAUACUGGUAUAAGCAAAAGUAUGGUGAAGGUCUUAUCUUCUUGAUGAUGCUACAGAAAGGUGGGGAAGAGAAAAGUCAUGAAAAGAUAACUGCCAAGUUGGAUGAGAAAAAGCAGCAAAGUUCCCUGCAUAUCACAGCCUCCCAGCCCAGCCAUGCAGGCAUCUACCUCUGUGGAGCAGACA